rnacentral:lncRNA from 1 species
CCUCACAGAGCUACACAAGAGGAAUCUGGAUGGGAUCCUGACCCUGGUCCUUCCAACUUCUACUCUGCCCCAUCCCUGCCCAUCUCCCAGUCCUUGCACUCUCCUGAGGUUGGCAGCUGGGAAGAAAAAGCCUGAUGAUAUAUAGACAAGAGGAUAACUUCCAAAAAACUAUGAUUCCAUUCACCAGUUCAACUCCAUAUGGCUGUACCUGCAAAGCAAAGGGAAGGAAUGUAAAGCAACUGCACAAGUUAAUACUGCCCUGGGGCAGCUUGAAUGGAUAUGACUUGAACCAAGUGGCUUGCCACUCUGCUGCCAUUCUGACCCUUGCUGUGUUCAAG